UGGGGAAUAUUGCACAAUGGGCGAAAGCCUGAUGCAGCGACGCCGCGUGAGGGAUGACGGCCUUCGGGUUGUAAACCUCUUUCAGCAGGGACGAAGCGCAAGGGACGGUACCUGCAGAAGAAGCACCGGCUAACUACGUGCCAGCAGCCGCGGUAAUACGUAGGGUGCAAGCGUUGUCCGGAAUCACUGGGCGUAAAGAGUUCGUAGGCGGUUUGUCGCGUCGUUUGUGAAAACCAGCAGCUCAACUGCUGGCUUGCAGGCGAUACGGGCAGACUUGAGUACUGCAGGGGAGACUGGAAUUCCUGGUGUAGCGGUGAAAUGCGCAGAUAUCAGGAGGAACACCGGUGGCGAAGGCGGGUCUCUGGGCAGUAACUGACGCUGAGGAACGAAAGCGUGGGUAGCGAACAGG
rnacentral:rRNA from 1 species